rnacentral:rRNA from 1 species
GGUUAAGUGACUAAGCGUACACGGUGGAUGCCUGGGCAGUCAGAGGCGAUGAAGGACGUACUAACUUGCGAUAAGCGCAGAUAAGGCAGUAAGAGCCGUUUGAGUCUGCGAUUUCCGAAUGGGGAAACCCAACUGCAUAAGCAGUUACUGUUAACUGAAUACAUAGGUUAACAGAGCAAACCGGGGGAACUGAAACAUCUAAGUACCCCGAGGAGAAGAAAUCAACCGAGAUUCCGGUAGUAGCGGCGAGCGAACCUGGAUUAGCCCUUAAGCACUCGGUGAAGUAGGUGAACAAGCUGGAAAGCUUGGCGAUACAGGGUGAUAGCCCCGUAACCGACGCUUCAUCGAGCGUGAAAUCGAGUAGGGCGGGACACGUGAUAUCCUGUCUGAAUAUGGGGGGACCAUCCUCCAAGGCUAAAUACUCCUGACUGACCGAUAGUGAACCAGUACCGUGAGGGAAAGGCGAAAAGAACCCCUGUGAGGGGAGUGAAAUAGAACCUGAAACCGUGUACGUACAAGCAGUAGGAGCACCUUCGUGGUGUGACUGCGUACCUUUUGUAUAAUGGGUCAGCGACUUAUAUUCAGUGGCAAGGUUAACCGUAUAGGGGAGCCGUAGCGAAAGCGAGUCUUAACUGGGCGCUCAGUCUCUGGAUAUAGACCCGAAACCGGGUGAUCUAGCCAUGGGCAGGUUGAAGGUUGAGUAACAUCAACUGGAGGACCGAACCGACUAAUGUUGAAAAAUUAGCGGAUGACUUGUGGCUAGGGGUGAAAGGCCAAUCAAACUCGGAGAUAGCUGGUUCUCCCCGAAAGCUAUUUAGGUAGCGCCUCGGACGAAUACUACUGGGGGUAGAGCACUGUUAAGGCUAGGGGGUCAUCCCGACUUACCAACCCUUUGCAAACUCCGAAUACCAGUAAGUACUAUCCGGGAGACACACGGCGGGUGCUAACGUCCGUCGUGGAGAGGGAAACAACCCAGACCGCCAGCUAAGGUCCCAAAGUAUUGCUAAGUGGGAAACGAUGUGGGAAGGCUCAGACAGCUAGGAUGUUGGCUUAGAAGCAGCCAUCAUUUAAAGAAAGCGUAAUAGCUCACUAGUCGAGUCGGCCUGCGCGGAAGAUGUAACGGGGCUAAGCAAUACACCGAAGCUGCGGCAAUGUCUUUUAGACAUUGGGUAGGGGAGCGUUCUGUAAGCCGUUGAAGGUGAAUCGUAAGGUUUGCUGGAGGUAUCAGAAGUGCGAAUGCUGACAUGAGUAACGACAAAGGGGGUGAAAAACCUCCUCGCCGGAAGACCAAGGGUUCCUGUCCAACGUUAAUCGGGGCAGGGUGAGUCGACCCCUAAGGUGAGGCCGAAAGGCGUAAUCGAUGGGAAACGGGUUAAUAUUCCCGUACUUCUGACUAUUGCGAUGGGGGGACGGAGAA